rnacentral:sRNA from 1 species
UAUAUAGUAAUAUGAUGUCCGACGUGCAC